CAAAGUGCAGCAGAACAGUGGAAGGAGGUCACAGUACCAGCUUCAGAGCUGCUAGUUAUCUCAUCCCUCAAGCCAUACAUAUUGUACACAGUGCAUUUGGCCGCCCUUAAUGCAGUGGGACUGGGGCCAUUCUCACACACAAGCAGCGUUUGCGCACAGGGAAUACGAUGUCCGGGAUGAUGGUGUUGAACGCCGAGCUAAA